rnacentral:rRNA from 1 species
AGAGUUUGAUCAUGGCUCAGGAUGAACGCUAGCUACAGGCUUAACACAUGCAAGUCGAGGGGUAGCAGGGUAGCAAUACCGCUGACGACCGGCGCACGGGUGAGUAACACGUAUCCAACCUUCCCAUAACUCAGGGAUAGCCUUUCGAAAGAAAGAUUAAUACCUGAUAGUACUUUUUCAAGGCAUCUUGAGAAAGUUAAAGAUUUAUUGGUUAUGGAUGGGGAUGCGUUCCAUUAGAUAGUUGGUGAGGUAACGGCUCACCAAGUCUUCGAUGGAUAGGGGUUCUGAGAGGAAGGUCCCCCACAUUGGUACUGAGACACGGACCAAACUCCUACGGGAGGCAGCAGUGAGGAAUAUUGGUCAAUGGGCGAGAGCCUGAACCAGCCAAGUAGCGUGAAGGAAUGAGGGUCCUAUGGAUUGUAAACUUCUUUUAUAGUAGAAUAAAGUGAUCCACGUGUGGAUUUUUGUAUGUAUACUAUGAAUAAGGAUCGGCUAACUCCGUGCCAGCCGCCGC